UAGUAAAGAAUAGAGAAUACACCUAUGCCAUCCGAUCCACUAGAUCCUAUGGCUGCCUUUUAUUCAGAUUUUGAUUAUUAAAAAAACGUGGCAUUAAAUUACUUGAAUUUUUAUUGUAUGUAAGGGUUUAUUCGGAAAUUUAAUCACGCAAGUAAAUCUGGAAGAUUUGGGUUCUUCCGCAUUUCACUCCUCCACUACUCUUCAAAAUUUUUGUGGAGAUUAGGGCAUUACGAUUCCGAAUAAGGUUGAAGUUCAUCGUGUUUCUGCAUAAUCAUCCUUGUUUCGGCGCACCAACAGGGCGCCGCCCCCUUUCUCAUGCCGGCGCCGCCUCCCCUUGCCGCCACAGUCGGCACCACGACCACCGACUUCGCCCCACCCGCCUCUCUCUCAAACCAUAAAUUCUCAAAUUUUUCUCUGACUCCAUCUCAUUCGAUCUUAGGCAACGAUGUCGCCAUCGCCGAUGCGCCGCCGUCUUCGCCUGGACCUCCUUUGUCCAUGACUGAACAGCAGCGGCGGAGCAUAGGGAAGCUUCAGCCCUUGCGCUCCUAUAUCGUAAUUUACGAUCAGCAGCGGCGGAAAGAUCUGAUUUUUAUUAAAGAUCCAGAAGACUUGUUCGUAGGUUGUGGAGCUCGACUUUCUUUAUCCCAGUGAAGGAAUACAUCGCAGAUGGGAAAAUUGCUGGUUUAAUUUCGUUGAGUGCUGGGAAAAAUUGUUCAUUUCUUGUUUUGCAUUGAAUAUUCGUUAUAAAUUCAGUAUAUUGUGUAGUUUAUUCUUAAAUUUUCUAUGUAUAUUCAUUAACUUUUGUAGUUUAUUCAAAUAAAUUUGAUCUUUAUUAUGUGUGGUCA